rnacentral:lncRNA from 1 species
AUUUAGAGCAAUGAGGUUGGGUCUUUUGGAAAUGACACCAGAGGAAGACUGCCCUUGAUAGGGACUAUACCAAGUUCUUCUUUGCAGCAAAACCUCAGGGUUUUGAGUCUCGUAUUCACAUCUUUUUACUAAGAAGGGCUCCUCCAGACUCCUGGUGUAUAUUUGUUGGAGGCCUUAAGCUGUUCGUGGCAGUACAUUGCGGAGCAUAGAACGAAACCGGGUGUGGAACACUGAGUCCCAAGGAUAGCCAUCUUCAGAGAUACGGCUCAUGACCCAGAUUUUCUAUGAUGCCACAAUGCGCUACCAACCAACUAGUUAAUGAGGAUUGGAGCCGCGAUUAUAUGGCUGGGGUUCUCCAGUAUGGCAUCCCCACUUCCUCCCCUCCAGGUACAUGGUAAGCAGAGAGCAUCACACCUGAGCAGCAUUCUUACUCAGCUCAACAGCAAUAUCUGAGCCUGAGUUUCCCAUUCCAAUCACCAGGAUGCGUUUUCCCUCAAAUCCAUCUGGAUGCUUGUAUUGGCGGCUAUGGAAAUAUUGGCCUUUGAACCUCUCCAUACCUUCAGGGGGAAGAAGAGAGAAGUCUGUGAGCUCCAGAGCAACUAUGUCAAGCUAAUUUCAAUAAAACUGCAUUGCCAGCUUUUCCUUUCUGGAGUUAAUAAUUUGUUUUGCCUCUUCUCUAUAGGA